rnacentral:lncRNA from 1 species
CUGCAGGUGAACCCGUGUGUCCUGGCCUCUGGAGAAGACAGUGAGGGUGGACGGCCAUCUGGGGCCCGGAUCCUAGGAGCACCCCCCAUGUCUGCCGCUGGGCAAGUGGGACGAUCUCUGCUGGCGGCUCACUCAGCCCCAACAGCUCAGCUCCCUCCACAGGGGGAAAGCAGCCAAGGCCACAGGCCUGCGUCUGGCUGGAGAACACUCAGGGCUGGCAACAUGCUUGCUAAGCCCUGGCUCUUCCCCUCACUUCCCUCUUGCAAAGUUUCCAGGGGAAACUAUCUAGGGGACAGACUUCCCAGACUGUGUAGACGUCACACAAGACGUCUUCUCUUCUCAGACAUUUUAGAGUUCAUGUUUCAGCUCUGUCACUUCCUGUGUGUGACCUUGGCUUUGCCAGGUCUCAGCUGUCAUCUGUGAAUUGAGGAUAAAUAUCUACCUGCGAGGAUUAGCUAAGAUGAUGCCUAUAAGCCAGCUCUUAGCAGUGCCUGGUUUACGGGAGGCACUCCCUAAAAUGUUCUUUUAUUAUUAUUAUUGGUGGUGGUGGUGGUGGUAUUCCUUUAUGCUGUGCUUCUGGAAGCUUCUAGUAGGCUGGCUACAACACAGGGAUAUGGGAUCUGUGCAGACACAGGGUAUGUUUGAGGCCUGCUUUAUCAGAGGAGAGAAGAAUGAGGCCCAGGGCCACCCUCGCAGGGCCUCUAAAGGACAGAGCUGUCAGCUGGAAGAGGCCUCUGUAAUCCAGCCACACAACCCUCCCCGUGGGCGUCGCCGUGCUUAUCAGAUCUAUUCAGGUUUCCCAGAUGAGGACAGCAUCCCCCGGGAUAGUUGCAGAUGCUCCGACUGGACCACGUAGGUGAGUGUGGCCAGCCCCAGGGUCAGGGUUCACUUGCAUGGGAGGGGAAUCUGAGAACAGGGGCCCAUCUUUUCCCUGACAGACACAUGCAAUCAUCAGCUGCUUCCAUAGGCAUUCAGGCAGCUGGGCUUCCCAACUAGUCUAAAGGGCAGGCCCGGCUGUUUGCAAGAGGGAUUACCACCCCACCCUAAGGCUGCUGAACUUCGUACACAAGAUGGGUUAAUAUUUUCCCUCCAGGAAUCUUAAAUCUGCAUAGCGCUUCUCAGUUUCACUAUCCACCCUGUGGGGUAGGUAGGAAAAGCAGUAAACCCAUUUUAUAGACGAGGAAACAGAGGCCCAGAGAAGUUAGAUUUUCCCAGAGUCACUUAACUGGGAAAGACCCCUGGGCUGCCAACGAGUUCAGGACAUUUCCUCCAAAUGGUGCCUCCACUCAGAGGGGAUCUACAGGCCCCAACCCUCCAGCUUCAUGCACAGUUGAGGCAGAUGGGCCCGUGUGAGAGCCCCUGGGUAGGCUCAGAACUUGGUUCCCCUUCUCUAAAUAUCCACAUGAUAUUCAUUUAGCCAGAGUUUAAGAAAGCUUCAUUUUUCUUUUCAAUAGAAGUCUCUCUUUAGAGGUACCUGGGUGGCUCAGUUGGAUAAGUGUCUGCCUUCAGCUGGAGUCAUCAUCUCAGGGUCCUGGGAUCAAGCCUGAUGUUGGGCUCCCUGCUCAGUGGAGAGCCUGCUUCUCCCUCUCCCUCUGCUGCUCCCCCUGCUUGUGCUCUCUCUCUCUCUCUCUGGCAAAUAAAGAAAUACAAACUUAAAAAAAAAAAAAAAGU